UGAGUGAAAAAAAUCUCAUUACUGAAGAACUCAAAGAACGGCUUGAAUUCUACUCUGAUCUACAACUAGAGUUUAUGGAGAAAAAGGGCCAUGAAUACUCCAACGAAUAUAGAGAGUUUGCCCUCACACUUCAUCUCCAUGGCCCAAAGGCAUACAAAUACCUUAGAGAGAAGCGAAGAUUUCCCCUCCCACAUCCGCACACAUUACAAAGGUGGUUGUGUUCAGUAGAUGACAGGCCUGGCUUGAACAAGAUGAUGCUGGACAUGCUGGAGAGAAAAUGCCAGGAAGACCAUGCUAAAUAUGGAUUUGUUGCACUCAUUUUGGAUGCAAUGGCAAUCAGAAAACAUGUGCAAUAUAAUCUACAUACA